GAUGAACGCUGGCGGCGUGCCUAAUACAUGCAAGUCGAGCGAACAGAUGAGGAGCUUGCUCCUCUGACGUUAGCGGCGGACGGGUGAGUAACACGUGGAUAACCUACCUAUAAGACUGGGAUAACUUCGGGAAACCGGAGCUAAUACCGGAUAAUAUAUUGAACCGCAUGGUUCAAUAGUGAAAGACGGUUUUGCUGUCACUUAUAGCUGGAUCCGCGCCGCAUUAGCUAGUUGGUAAGGUAACGGCUUACCAAGGCAACGAUGCGUAGCCGACCUGAGAGGGUGAUCGGCCACACUGGAACUGAGACACGGUCCAGACUCCUACGGGAGGCAGCAGUAGGGAAUCUUCCGCAAUGGGCGAAAGCCUGACGGAGCAACGCCGCGUGAGUGAUGAAGGUCUUCGGAUCGUAAAACUCUGUUAUUAGGGAAGAACAAAUGUGUAAGUAACUAUGCACGUCUUGACGGUACCUAAUCAGAAAGCAACGGCUAACUACGUG
rnacentral:rRNA from 1 species